GAUGAACGCUGGCGGCGUGCCUAAUACAUGCAAGUCGAGCGAACAGAUGAGGAGCUUGCUCCUCUGACGUUAGCGGCGGACGGGUGAGUAACACGUGGAUAACCUACCUAUAAGACUGGGAUAACUUCGGGAAACCGGAGCUAAUACCGGAUAAUAUAUUGAACCGCAUGGUUCAAUAGUGAAAGACGGUUUUGCUGUCACUUAUAGAUGGAUCCGCGCCGCAUUAGCUAGUUGGUAAGGUAACGGCUUACCAAGGCAACGAUGCGUAGCCGACCUGAGAGGGUGAUCGGCCACACUGGAACUGAGACACGGUCCAGACUCCUACGGGAGGCAGCAGUAGGGAAUCUUCCGCAAUGGGCGAAAGCCUGACGGAGCAACGCGGCGUGAGUGAUGAAGGUCUUCGGAUCGUAAAACUCUGUUAUUAGGGAAGAACAAAUGUGUAAGUAACUAUGCACGUCUUGACGGUACCUAAUCAGAAAGCCACGGCGAACUACGU
rnacentral:rRNA from 1 species